rnacentral:misc_RNA from 1 species
AAAGUCGUAACAAGGUUUCCGUAGGUGAACCUGCGGAAGGAUCAUUAAAACAUAAGUUUGCCCAGCAUGCCUAGCGGUGCCACGGUCCUUCACGGGAACGCGGCGCUAAUGGGAACCCUUUGUGAAAACCCCUCGUUGCUUUCGGCGGCACUCCCCCAAAUGCGGGGGGGGUCAGUCCGCCGAUAGCACCCCCGAAAAUUCUUUUUGAAAUAAGCUGUCUGAAAAUCAAGUCGAAUUGACUAUAAAACUUUCAACAACGGAUCUCUUGGUUCCC